UUGGAGGGCAGUCUGGUGCCAGCAGCCGCGGUAAUUCCAGCUCCGAAUAGCGUAUAUUAAAGUUGUUGCAGUUAAAAAGCUCGUAGUUGAACUUCGGGGGUCUACCCAUUGGUCAGGCUUAAUUGUCUGCACUGGUGAGAUGGAUCUCCACCUUCUGAGGAACUUUCAUGCCAUUUAUUUGGUGUGAUGGGAAAUCAGGCUGUUACUUUGAAAAAAUUGAGUGUUUAAAGCAGACUAUCGUCUAGAAUACUAUUAGCAGUAGG
rnacentral:rRNA from 1 species